GUCGGGAAUAUUGCUCAAUGGGCGAAAGCCUGAAGCAGCAACGCCGCGUGCGCGAAGAAGGCCUUCGGGUCGUAAAGCGCUUUUUGGGGAGAUGAGGAAGGACAGUAUCCCCAGAAUAAGGUACGGCUAACUACGUGCCAGCAGCCGCGGUAAAACGUAGGUACCGAGCGUUAUCCGGAUUUACUGGGCGUAAAGCGCGUUCAGGCGGCUUAGCAAGUCGGGCAUGAAAUCUCUCGGCUCAACCGGGAGAAGCUGUCCGAUACUGUUAGGCUUGAGGGCGGGAGAGGGUGGUGGAAUUCCGGGUGUAGUGGUGAAAUGCGUAGAGAUCCGGAGGAACACCAGUGGCGAAGGCGGCCACCUGGCCCGACCCUGACGCUAACACGCGAAAGCUAGGGGAGCGAACGGGAUUAGAAACCCGUGUAGUCC
rnacentral:rRNA from 1 species